UCAAAGUGCACAGAAUUGCAGGAGAAUUUGUAGCCAUUUCAGCUUGUUGAGAUUCAGUAGCAGUAUGCAGUAAGCUGUGUAAUGUGAUAGGCUUUUCAAUAACUAAAUGGACAAUCUCAACUAUACAUAAAAAUUUGAUGACAUACCCUUUUAAAGGUGUCUGGUAAACACCCUUUACCAGACACACUCACACACAAGAUAAAGACGGCUGGUGAGGAAAAGCGUUCACUUGUCCUUCCCUCUAGGAGCUUCCACAAGGCUGGAUAUCUGGUGAAUACUCCUCCAAAAGACCAGCAGCAAUGGAUCAUGAGGCAAAGAGCAGCGCAGCGAGUACAAUGAUGGAGAGAACGAGAGGGGCGGAGUCAGUGACAAGUUGCUAUGACAACAUAUGAUUGAGGAGUUACAAGGUGACACUGUGGAGUUACGUACAACCCAUUGGACGUCUUGCACUGUAGAUAAAGGAACACAAUUAAGAAAUAGUUUAAUCACUGCCUCAUGAAUGGAUGUGUCAAGCACACACAGUGCUCCAACAUCUCUGUGUGUGCUAUUGUAUCCUUCACCCUGCCUACAUGGUGUCUACUCCUAGACUGAGGGAAUGGAGGUAUCAAGCACACACAGUGCUCCAACAUCUCUGUGUGUGCUAUUGUAUCCUUCACCCUGCCUGUAUGGUGUCUACUCCUAGACUGAGGGAAUGGAGGUGGCAAGCACACACAGGAGUAUUGACCUGACUCCCUCCAGGCCUGGUGAAAUGAACCAAUCGUCUCUCUAUUAUAUAUAGCACAUACAGCAGCAAAGUACAACACAUCAGUCAGCAAGAAACCACCUCACCCCAGCAAGGACUGAACACCAGCCCCCGGCAUGUAUCAUGAGGGACGCUGUACAGAGAUGUUAGGGCAAGUUCCUUUAAUUAGAUCGAGAUAUUGUAAUUAUUUCCUUCUUCCAGGUUGUCGGUCGCUAAAUGUGCUUAUAGUUGCCAUGGAGAUGGAGAUGGUAAUUGACUGAAGUCAUGUACCUACCUCUCGAUAGAAGGAAACAAGGAUUUGUCAAUAAUUAUAGUACUGUGAUAAAUAAAUGUUUUGUCAACUUCGAUUCUCUAAGAUCAUAAUUAUUCACAACUAUAAUUAUACUAUUGUUCUUGUUCUUACAAAACUUUAAAUUAUGUUACGUUGUUUCA